rnacentral:lncRNA from 1 species
UAGAAGGACAGGGAAGAGAGAGAACUUAGCUCUGUUGAAGGAGGUAGGAGUUGUGCCAUGGAUACCAGAAAAGCAGCACCUCACACUUCUUAUCUGUUAUCUCAUUUCCAAAGAGUAGGACUGAGGCAAACUGGAAAACCUAAAGCAUUUUCAGUGGGCAAUCAACAAAUGAGUUCCCCACACAGUCAGGGAAGUGCCAGCUGGAGAGCAGCUGUGGGAACCCAGGGCUUCCCUCUGGCUGCCCUGGCAGGUCUGAGACCCUGGCAGGGGUCAGGAACCCCCCUGGACAGAGCCCCCAGAGACACUGUCUCUGAUCUCUGUCCAUGGAAAAGAGUUUUCAAUCCUACAGGAUGAAUUACCAGCUCUGAGUGUUUGAUAGAAGUAAUAAUUAAGUGUGGCAUGGGUGCAAAAGUAAAAUUUUAGGAUUCUAGAUUAGGGGUUCAAAGGGGAAAGAUGGAGGAAAUUGGGUGUGUCUUGUCCUUUUUCUCCUUCUUCAUGCCCUCCAUGUUUCACUGUGGUGUUGGCAUUUUUCUGUUGGUUCAAGCUGGGGACACACUGUUCAACGUAGGUGACAGAUAUUUGCACAUUAUUGUAAAUCCAGCCCAGGGAGUUUCUGGUAUUUAAUGUUUGUAACAUCCCACUGAGGGCAGAGCCCCACACGCUGCCCUGCAGGACAGAGCUGUGGCAGGGCAGCAGAACAUGUUAGAGAUAAACAGAAUAAACAACCUGGAAACCAGCACAGACCAAUUAUGGCUUCUUAUUUGGCAGCGGGGCAGAAAGACAGAGACUUUCUACAGUCUCAGAAUCAUCAAAACCACAGAUGCCAACAAGCAGCAGCUUCUGACCAGUGCAGGGAGGUGUAGUGCUUGGGACUCACACUCAGAACUCUCCCAGAGCACAGAGCUCACUCACACUGCUGCAGGUGCUGAGCCCAGAUGCAGGAAUUGCAUGGUGCAGGGCUGCAGGAACCCCCCUGCAGGGCUGUGCCUGCUGGGGCUCACUGAGAGGGCUUCACACAGCUCUGCUCACUUCCCCUUUCUGCUGUGACACUGGUUUUCUUCAGAGAUGUCCACAUUGCUAAAGUUAAAAACUCCUCUUCCCUGCUUUUCCCAUUCCAAUGUGGAAAGGAGCCACAAAAAUACCAGAGCAGGAGCAAGAACUCUGCCAGUGCAUCGAGCUCCUCAGCUGCCCUCCCUGCAGCUUUCCUCUCUCUUGAGGAGGUGAUGUUGUGACCCUGGUGUGUGAUCACCAGAGCAGGGAGUCAGAGAUGCAAUUUAAAAAAAUAAAGAGCAAACUGGUCAAAAAUGGAGACUCA